rnacentral:tRNA from 1 species
GGGCCGGUAGUCUCAGUUGGUAGAGCGCCUCGUUUGCAACGAGGAGGUCAGGGGUUCGAGUCCCCUCCGGUCCACCA